UGUAUUUUUUGUCUAUUUAAAUAUGUAUGCGUGGCUCCCCUACAAAAUGUGAAUCUGUAUAGCCUGUUGCCGUCCAAAGAAUCCGUUGGAUCAAAUAAAAAGACACGCGUCACGAUAUUAUUAGAGGUUACAUGUUACAAUAUGGACCCACGCUCCACCCAAUUUCUUUUUCGGCAUCAAGACCAGAGUACUCAGUAGAUGGUUCUCCAACAUAUAUGCCCAAUGCCCCUGUGCUUGUGCAUGAGUGCUUCUUUCCUUUUUUUUUCACAAUCGAUUUGUUCGCAUCUGCAAAAUAUCUUUGAUGGAACCCCAUGUUAUCGUACAGACAGAUGUAGCUGUUCUCCCUUCUUUGUUCAUGUCAUUUCACAUAUCGUGUUUGUGAACACUCUCGAUCCCGGGACUCGAAGUGCUAGAGUAUAGUAUGCAUCUUUGGAUAAAGAACUGGGGCUCAAAUGCUAGACUACAUCUCGAUUCAGGAUCCGUCGACCAUUGACCUGUCAACUGUGCUAAUGUCCUUACUAGACACAGGAACUCGCUAGUCGCCUGAUGCCACUACUCUAGGGCUGUUGGGUUCUUCAUUAACAACCUUCACUCCUUCUCCUAUGAUUCCUACGUUCUCACUUUUCAUCUCUGGGGUUAUGGGGGACCCAAUUGGAAGCAUGGGUACAUGCUUUACCAACAGGAAGAAGUCCAUUCUUGGAUCUAGACUCAGAAAUACUAGGAGAAUACCCCGCGCGUUGCUGCGGGGAUUCCACAUAAUUUAAAAAUAAAUUAUACUAUUUAUAUUUAUAGUUAUAUGGAUGAAACUAUCUGAAAUUAAUUUUGAUGAAUGAUUUGGCUGGCCAACUAAAUGCAUGUUAGUGGAUGAAGAGAUAACUAUCAUAAUUAUAUGUGCUAGUUGGCUAUAAUUGCAAGUUUUAGUGGAUUGUUGAUGUGGAUAGCUUGCAUGUUGAGAGAAUUCUCUAGUGGGGUUUAGCUUUAUAAGAGUAUAAGAUAUAUGCGUCAACUGCAUGACUUACAUUAUUGAUACCCCAAGCGGAGAGUACACCGGUUUUGAAGCUCUCAUCUUAUCUAGAAUGGUGUUCGGUCCACCUGCAUCAUAUUGGAUAUGACUGCCUGUUUCACCUCUUCCACAGGCACGACCUCGACAACCAAAUUAUGAUGUUGUGGACUUUGUAAGUACCGUUCUAGUAUGAUGCUAUAAUAUACCACUUCAGCAAUGUUUUAACAUAUCUCAUGCUUUAUGCAGGUGGUUGGCUUCAUAUUGGGCUGAGCAAAAGCUUUGGCACAUUAGAUUCUUGGACCUAGUGAUAGUAAAUGAGGAAACAUACAGAGGCGAUAUAGGAUAUGACAAGGCCCAUAUGAUAGGCGUGGUGACCAAGCUGUCAAAUAAAUCGUCCAAUAGAAC
rnacentral:lncRNA from 1 species